rnacentral:rRNA from 4 species
GGGUUGUGAGGUUAAGCGACUAAGCGUACACGGUGGAUGCCCUGGCAGUCAGAGGCGAUGAAGGGCGUGCUAAUCUGCGAUAAGCGCCGGUAAGGUGAUAUGAACCGUUAUAACCGGCGAUACCCGAAUGGGGAAACCCAGUGUGAUUCGUCACACUAUCAUUAACUGAAUCCAUAGGUUAAUGAGGCGAACCGGGGGAACUGAAACAUCUAAGUACCCCGAGGAAAAGAAAUCAACCGAGAUUCCCCCAGUAGCGGCGAGCGAACGGGGAGGAGCCCAGAGCCUGAAUCAGCAUGUGUGUUAGUGGAAGCGUCUGGAAAGGCGCGCGAUACAGGGUGACAGCCCCGUACACAAAAGCGCAUGUGCUGUGAGCUCGAUGAGUAGGGCGGGACACGUGGUAUCCUGUCUGAAUAUGGGGGGACCAUCCUCCAAGGCUAAAUACUCCUGACUGACCGAUAGUGAACCAGUACCGUGAGGGAAAGGCGAAAAGAACCCCGGCGAGGGGAGUGAAAAAGAACCUGAAACCGUGUACGUACAAGCAGUGGGAGCACAGGUUUACCUGUGUGACUGCGUACCUUUUGUAUAAUGGGUCAGCGACUUAUAUUCUGUAGCAAGGUUAACCGUAUAGGGGAGCCGGAGGGAAACCGAGUCUUAAUUGGGCGUUAAGUUGCAGGGUAUAGACCCGAAACCCGGUGAUCUAGCCAUGGGCAGGUUGAAGGUUGGGUAACACUAACUGGAGGACCGAACCGACUAAUGUUGAAAAAUUAGCGGAUGACCUGUGGCUGGGGGUGAAAGGCCAAUCAAACCGGGAGAUAGCUGGUUCUCCCCGAAAGCUAUUUAGGUAGCGCCUCGUGAAUUCAUCUCCGGGGGUAGAGCACUGUUUCGGCUAGGGGGCCAUCCCGGCUUACCAACCCGAUGCAAACUGCGAAUACCGGAGAAUGUUAUCACGGGAGACACACGGCGGGUGCUAACGUCCGUCGUGAAGAGGGAAACAACCCAGACCGCCAGCUAAGGUCCCAAAGUCAUGGUUAAGUGGGAAACGAUGUGGGAAGGCCCAGACAGCCAGGAUGUUGGCUUAGAAGCAGCCAUCAUUUAAAGAAAGCGUAAUAGCUCACUGGUCGAGUCGGCCUGCGCGGAAGAUGUAACGGGGCUAAACCAUGCACCGAAGCUGCGGCAGCGA